rnacentral:lncRNA from 1 species
AUUUGACUUGGUUACUCUCCGGGGAGAAUCCUGCGUCAGUAUGGCCUGUGAUUGAGGUAGAUUAUGGUUUCUACAUCUAAGAUUGGGUGAAAAAGAUUGGAUUAGGUUAGAUGGAGCACAUAGAGGUUUUUACUAAGAUACGUUAUUUUAAAGUGCUGUGGAAUAAGCUGGCGCUAUAUAAAUAAUAACCAAUAAUAAUACAUAGACUAUUUAAAAUUUGCAUACCCCAUGUAGACUUGCUUCACCCCAGCAAUCCAGAGAAUCCUUUACUAGGAUGGGUGUCUGUGGACCCUUAGGUACUACCUUCUCGUUCUAGAAGGUUGGAUGACCGUAAAAGCCUGCAGUUACACCUGCAGAAAAAUUACUUAAAGGAACACUAUAGUGUCAGGAAUACAAACAUGUAUUCCUGACACUAUAGUGCUGGAAUAUCUAAUUAGGUCCCACUCUCUGUGAAGAUUAAAGGUAGUUUACAUACCUUUUAUCUCUCUAAAUGCUUGUCUUGCCACAGCUGGCUCAACCUCCAUGACUAAGAUCAUCAAUCUAUGGGGAAUGUUCAGCGUGGGGACGCUGAACACCAGUGCUGCACACUGUGCAGCACUGGACUGUAAGCACCUCUAGUGGCGAUCUGAGUGACUGUCACUAUAGUUGUUACUUGGCGGCAAUGUAAACCCUACUGUUUCUCAGCAAAUGCAACGUUUACAUUGAAAAGCCUGCAGGGACAUGCUAAAAAACCCAGAACAACUACAUUAAGAUUAAGACUAUAGUGUCCCUUUAAGAAAGAGGAAAAGUUCAGAAAGCCCCUUUGUCUAUUCUAACUAGGCUUAACAACAAGCUGACUAGUCUGGGUAAUUCUUUAAAGUUAGAAAUGAGUAAUCUAGGAUUUUAUAUUUCAACUACCAAUUGCUAUAUGAUUCUGUGAUUACCACUAGCUAGCAGGGACCUAUGAGGAUUGUUGUGGGAAUUAAAGAGGAAAAGUGGCAUGUUGCUUGGAGACCCUGUAGGUGAAAGAUAUUAAGAUAAAUUCAGUGUGAAAUGCUACAGAUCUUUUAGAAUACCCCCAAAAAUAAUAGGAUGCAGUAGGAAUAAUUUAGUGUUGUCGCUGCCCCCCCCCCAAUCCAUAAUAAAGUACAAACAUACAUUGGAACUUUGUAAAUCAAGGGUCAUUUAAUUAUCUUCUUUCAUCCUGCAUUGCAUUGCACUACAUAUCAUUUCCUGCCAAGUACUGGGGAAGAAAUAUGGCAUUGUAGUUGAACAACUGUUCAAGAGCCAAGGUUGGACUUGGAACCACAUCUGAAUGAGCUAUCCCUAAGAAUCAUAAUAGUCUGUCAAUAGGAUUUUAAUAGCCAAGGCAUUAUCAUAACUCUAGCCCUCCCAGAUAUUGUAAAAUAGGUAGAACUUUAAUUUAGGCACCAUUAUAAAACCAGAAACUAUUUAAUGCUAAUGAAAAACUAUCAUAUGAAAGAAAGGCACAGCAGAUGUUUGCAAACUACAUUUACCAUGAUGCUCAACUGGCUUUUUAAUGGUAGCCAUCACUGCACUAUAAUCUGUAAUAUCAGUGCAGGUAUCGCUGUCUGCUGUUAUAACCUCAGUUAAGCCUGUGUCUUCCAUGUAAUCAAAGUAUUAAGCGCGACAUGAAGGCCCACGAUACAGUUAACUGUAAUUGUGGACUUUUUGUACUUAACUGUAUAGUUUGAGCUCAGUCAAAUUCUGAAUUGGAAAGCAGAUCUUUCUUUCUUUUUUUUUUUGUCAGCAACCUCUUCUGUCUGUCUCCCUUCGCAGCCCCUCCACCCUUGACAAUCAAAGGGCCAAAAAAUCUUUAAACACUUACCUGAUUUCAGCGCUGAGGUCCUUCAGCACUGGCUCCGUCUCCACCUCUUCCACCUCUUAGGUUGGCACGAUUGGGAACCUAAUGCCCGUGCCGCCCAUGCAUUAGGCCUUCCCGAUAGGAAAGCAUUGAAUCAAUAGUUUCCUAUGAGAAUUUGCAAGAUGCUGGAUGACUUCAUGCAGAAUGUGAUUAUGUCCAGCAGCGUUUCACGGAGUUAGACAGCCACUAGAGGCAGUGUUAACCCUGCAAUUUAAAGAUUGCAGUUUCUUUGAAACUCCAAUGUUUUCAGCUGCAGUGUAAAGAGGACAGGGUCACUGCACCUACACCUCUUUGACAUGAAGUGGUCUUGGUGCUUAUAGUGUCCUUUUAACUAUUGAUUUUACAUUAAUGGGCAAAGAUUCAUAUAUAAAAGCUAUUUCUAAUGCAGUCGGGAAGUCACUUGGAAUUUGGUGUGACUUUAAAAGAUGAAGAGACACCAAAGCUUACAUAGUGGUUUUGGUACGUUGAUGCUGUCCAUUUACUCUGACAUUGUAAAAUCUUGCCAUUUCUAAGAAAUGUCAGUAUUGGUUUGAAAACAGCCUCUAGAUGUACUAUCUCCUGAACACCUUCAACCUUCCAAGAAACUCACAUUUGGAUACAUUUGAAUGUAGCUAAUGCUUAAUUUUAACUUAAAAAAGGCAAGGGGACCCAUAAAUCUAACAAGAAUAAGGAACAAAUCUCCACAUCUCAUCAUAGACGUGUCCCUCACCAUGUCACAAGAAGCUUAUAGGCUGUGAAGGAUUGAGUCUAUAGUGAUAGAAUUGUAGAUAGAACUGCAUUCAGGAUAAUGGCAUGACCCAUAUUUAGGGGAGUUACAUAAAUGUAUAGCAAACGUACAGUACACCCAAACAAUGAGCCGAAAUUCCAAAUCAUGCUAUAUUCAUAGAAUUCAGCUAAUUGACAUGAUAAACAGAUUGAUAGGCUCCUGAUGGCGACUUUCUCUGAACACUGACCCCCUAGCUUUGUUCUUAUGAAGUUCAAAACCGUAGUAUGAGGUCCUAUUCGUUAUGUGACAAGAACAUGCAUUUUGAAUUAAAUUCAACCCUUAAUUACAGAGGGCUGCUUCCCUGUAGCAAAUUUGAUAUCAAUAAUGAUACAUUUCCUUCUGUAUACCCAGUGCUGCAUGUGCCUCAUUAACCAACCCUGCCUGGCUUUAAGUUGGCGCAGCGUGUAUAUUGCCCUGGGGGACUACUGAGCCCUGCCGUGUGCGCCAACUAUCGGAAUGCUUUUAAAUGUUUCCAUUUUCUACUAUUGAAUGUAUUGUCAAAUUGCCAGAGUCAUUGUUUUUGUUGUUUCCUGCCCAAUAUUCUCUAGACGGUAACUCUGGCAGAGGAAAGAAUUAACUCUUUUAUUAACCUCAAGGUUUAAACAUGAGGUUAAUGAAAUAGUAAAGAUAGAACAUUUGUAAAAUGCUGCAUAAUACGCGCUUUUUAAUUUAGUUACUACAACGUGUCACUGAUGUAAUGGCUAAUAUGGUAUCAUGCGUUUUUAUUCAGAAAGUGGCAAAAAUUACAGUGGGAAUAUAAUUUUAUCGAAGCCUGAUUUAAGGAUUCAAGACUAGACUUCAUGAGAUACAGAAUGGCGCAUUUUUUUAGCACCAUUUUUAGUGGGUAGCACAACACAAACACGCACAGCCGCAUUAUCCAAACCCACGUAUACACGCAUUGCCUACUCUCUUACAUACUUCUCUCCAUAAUGUCUUUUUAUUGUGGAUGUUGGGAGCAUGUGGGGCUAUACUAUACGUGUCUUCAGUCUUAAAUCCACCUCCGAUUACAUAAUUUACAGGAAAGCUCAUGCUGUGAAUUUGUCAUCUUUUAACAUAAACACUGAUAAUAGAUUAGAACUGGAAUCAUGGUUUUAUUGCAAUGACCAUUUAACUAACAAUUUUAGGAAAUCACAUUAAUGUAUAUUUAAAAAAAAAAAAAAAAGAACAGAAAAUAAGAACCACCGUGGCCUUUUGCUUAAUUUGGCUUCACAGGGAAUAGAUGUGUAUAUUUAUCAGUCUUUCUUUGUCAAUGUUUAUUUAGAAUUAGUUAUAUAGGUAGGCGUGCAUGUGUUCUAUAUUUGUCAGGACUAUUUUGUAUUUACUGUGCAGUAAAUUCAUUAUAACAACUUUUUAAAGGGAACACCGCUAGCAACCCUUUAACCCUUUGGGUGCCAGAGAGGUGGGCAGCUUAUUUAAUUGCUGAACCCCCUCUAACGCUCACAGGUUUAAGAGAGUGUAGUUGAAUUAAUGCAUGUACUGUUAACUUUUUUCACAGGUUUUGCAAACACAAAAAAUUACAAAAAAAUAUUUCAUGGGAUCUUCCAAACUUUUACUGAAUUUAUGUGGGGGGGACUGGGUUAAUCAAUUGUUUGUUUUAUUUUUGAAAGUGUUACUUGUUCUUGUAUUUACUUGGACAAAUCUAUUCGUGGUAACUUCUCUUUUGUAUAAAAUAUGUGCACCUGUACGUUUUGCAGAUUCAAAGAGGGGUAUUUGAAUAUGCAUUUUUAAAAUGACAUUUCUGUGUGAUCCUUGUCAUGUUUAUAUAUCUAAAUAUACAUAUAACAUACCUCCCAAUAUACAGGAUGGUCAAAGCUGGACUUUUAGGGGUGUAGCAUCAGUGGGUCAAUAUGCAUGCACUAAGCUGAUACAUUAUUCCAACCAGUUCCGUGUAUGCAUGAUGACAUCUAUGUAUAUACAUAUAUAUGUAGACUCAGGACUUUCCCUCGAAAUCCAGGUUACUUGGGAGUUAUCAUAUGUAUAUUCACAUAUAUACACACAUAGUUUGUAGUGGUACUGAUGUUAAAAGUUGAACAAAUGUUUAAAAUAUAUAUAUAUAUUUUUUAUUGUUAGAUUGUUUUUUGUUUGUCAGUAGAAACUUCUGCAUUACUUUUAUUAUCAACCAAUUUCCAUUCAUGUGGGAAAAGCUGAAAUCCAAGAAAAAAACAAAAACAAACGCUGGUUUGAGCUUUAUCUAAACUGACAAAGAUGAUUCAAUUUUGAUAUAGUGUAUUCAAAUGGGGGAACAUUGUAGGUCUGCCCUUUAAAAUGCAUAAUGCUGUGUGCAAUGCAUUGUAAUUCAUGAUAUUGGUUGCUUCCUCCCAUUGCUGUUAACUCUGCAUGACUGCAUUUUCUCAGACUGGAGACCUCAUCUUCUAUAUAUAUUAGUUGGCAGGAAAGGGAUUGGUUCCAAAAGGGAUAGAAGUAGACCACGCUCAAGGUUGACAGGAAGAGAUGCAUUAAGGGAUGGGGCUUUAUCUGCAUUGGGAACGGUAAUGGGUGACUCUGCCGCUCUUGUACUGCCACAUGCUCGUAGUUCUCAGUAAUGCAUGACUCUAAACCGGUCUGCAUGUUGAAUGAAAAUAUUGUUUUUUAUAAAACUAAAAGCAUGAAUUCCCUAAUAUCCAUGGUGAUUACAUUUGCUAUGUUAAGUGACUUUGUCUACAUGACCUGCAGUGCCACUUAGCUCUCUUUCUCUCUCUUUACCAACGUUUCAGCAAUAUCUGCCAUAUAAUGUUAAUAAUAAACCUUUACGUGAAUGAGACCGCCACAGGUCACUGUUCGUGAUGAAGGGCCAGCAGUGAUUUGAUGUAAAUCAUGUUUUUAUGAAAAAAAUCAACAGAGACAAAUUCAAAUAUGUUACUGGUUCUAGAACAUAAAGCAAGUAAUGAGUUACAUUUAGAGACAUAAACAAUACAGCUUAUCUGUUUUAUAAGCUGUAUUCUCAUAAAAAAAUAAAUGUAUUCUAAUUCUCUGUUAUUGGAAUUAUUGUCAGAAUUGAGGAGGAUUCGUAACAUUUUAGGCCAGAAUAGUAAAAUUGGAGAAAAAAUUACCAGUUUUUUUUUUUUUUUUUCAAGUCCAACUUUUUUUUUAACCAAAUUUUCAACAAUUUCUGGUUUAUUAGAAUAAAACAGUGUUGGAUACAGUACUACUUAUAUUAUGGACCGUGACAAGAAAAAUAUUUACAACUCAAAAGUACAGGAUAGUCUUCUUAAAAUUGAAAAUGUGCCCUUAUUAGAACGACCAAAAGGCAAUCUGGUAAUGUUUGGAUUUAAAAGUGAGUCUUUUGUCAAGUACACAUUUGACCACAUUUGACCACAUUUGUCAAAAUGUCAAUAUUUAUUUCAUAGCUGUCAUUGGUUGCUUCUUCGUUUUCAGAGGAGUGCAGGAUAGCUCAUUCAAAAUUCUUAGAGGGAACAUGUUGUUACCAAGGAGCCUCCGUAGGUCAGUGUUACAUUUCAGUGAAAAAUUAUAUUUGUUUCAACCACUCCUUACCCAAACUAGCCUCCUGUCUGUACAUUUCUGACCACUGAAGAGGAUACCAUUACCAGACAAAUUUUACCCACUACACCAUAUAAGGACUCCGAAGCUUUACUUACCGCCCACUGACAUGAUGUGUUAUGGCUCCUGAUGUUGGUCUACCAAUGAGAAAACAAGGAAAGUGGCACUGCAGCUGUAAUUUUAGAAAAAAAUUUAUUUUAUUUUUGCUGUUAAUUUUUGUUCAGGGCAUUGAAUAAAAAAAAAAAAAUGUAUGACCACUGUGAUUUAUUUAAAAAAUAACAAUAAAUAAGCUUUGUGAUUUUUUUUCACAAUACUUUGUGGUCAAAAAUAUAUAUUUGUGACGGUAAUAUUUUCAGUGCCAAAUAUAUGAGCAGUAAUGUCUGAC